rnacentral:rRNA from 1 species
UUGUAUUUGAAAGGGGUUGUAGCUGACCUCCUCUUGAAAAGGGGGGAGGUAUGUGCACACCUCUGUUCAUUCAUAUUCUCUCACACCUGUGCAUGCUUUGUAGGUUGGUUUUGAAUGGUUGUCUUCUCUGAUGGAGACAGCUGUUUUGACCUUCCUAUGUUCUUUAAAUUGACUCCGUAUCAGUUACAGAAUGUAUGUUGCGUGUAACGCAUAUUGUAUAACUUUCAGCAACGGAUCUCUUGGCUCUC